CGGGCUAAAGCUUGAAUAUAAGUAUUUUAUUUACAUUAAAAAGAUUGUUGAGUUAGAAGCAACAUAGCUUGA
rnacentral:tRNA from 1 species